rnacentral:rRNA from 1 species
AGUGAACGCUGGCGGCAGGCCUAAUACAUGCAAGUCGAACGGCAGCACAGCAGAGCUUGCUCUGUGGGUGGCGAGUGGCGGACGGGUGAGGAAUACAUGGGAAUCUGCCCAGUCGUGGGGGAUAACGUAUGGAAACGUACGCUAAUACCGCAUGCGCCCUACGGGGGAAAGCCGGGGACCGCAAGGCCUGGCGCGAUUGGAUGAGCCCAUGUUCGAUUAGCUAGUUGGCGGGGUAAAGGCCCACCAAGGCGACGAUCGAUAGCUGGUCUGAGAGGAUGAUCAGCCACACUGGAACUGAGACACGGUCCAGACUCCUACGGGAGGCAGCAGUAGGGAAUAUUGGACAAUGGGGGCGAACCCUCGAUCCAGCCAUGCCGCGUGAGUGAAGAAGGCCUCGGUUGUAAGCUCUUUUGUUCCGGAAAGAAAAGACAAUCGGUUAAUACCCGGUUGUUCUGACGGUACCGGAAGAAUAAGCA